rnacentral:rRNA from 1 species
UCCUGCCCAGUGACAUAGUUCAACGGCCGCGGUAUCCUAACCGUGCAAAGGUAGCAUAAUCACUUGCCUAUUAAUUGUAGGCUAGAAUGAAAGGAAAUACGAAAUAUAGACUGUCUCUAUAAAUAAAACAAAAAUUAAUUUCUAACUGAAGAGUGUUAGAUAGAAUCGAAGGACAAGAAGACCCUAUAGAGCUUUAUCUAAACAAGAAAAUAUUCUUAAGAUUCGGUUGGGGCGACCAAGGAUACUUUUAAUCAUCCUUCAUCAACAGAUUUAUAAAUCCCAAUUUUGACAAAAAAGACCAAGCUACCUUAGGGAUAACAGGCUAAUCCUGCUAGAGAGUCCUUAUCUAAAGCAGGGAUUGGCACCUCGAUGUUGGCUUAGGGAAACUAUUUGACGCAAAAGUCACAUAAAGAUGGUUUGUUCAACCAAUAAAUCCCUACAUGAGCUGAGUUCAGACCGGCGUAAGCCAGGUUAGUUUCUAUCCACGAUGCUAUUCAUAGUACGAAAGGACCUGAAUACGGAUAAAUUACUUAACGAAUAAAUAUAAUAAUUUUAAUAUAUUAAAUACUAU